rnacentral:tRNA from 1 species
CCUGGUGGCUCAGAGGUUAAAGCGUCUGCCUGCAAUGCGGGAGACCUGGGUUCAAUCCCUGGAUCAGGA